rnacentral:rRNA from 1 species
AGUGGGCGGACGGGUGAGUAACGCGUGGGUAACCUGCCUCAUACAGGGGAGUAACAGUUAGAAAUGACUGCUAAUACCGCAUAAGACCACAGCACCGCAUGGUGCAGGGGUAAAAACUCCGGUGGUAUGAGAUGGACCCGCGUCUGAUUAGGUAGUUGGUGGGGUAACGGCCUACCAAGCCGACGAUCAGUAGCCGACCUGAGAGGGUGACCGGCCACAUUGGGACUGAGACACGGCCCAA